rnacentral:lncRNA from 1 species
AUGCAAAAGGAGAGUGUAGCCAAGAGUCUUCCUGACCAAGAAAAAGUCUAUGAAUUUAUUCUGCAGUUGAAGAAAGUCUUUGGAAUUGAGUAAUUCAAUUCUUGGGAGUUGGGAUCCAAGCUUCAGGCAUGUACUACCAUUAUAUCUGGUUUUAAAUAAAAGGGCAUUUAGCUGUUGCCUGCCUGGUUGGGAUUGUCAUUUGAAAUUUCUGAGUUUUCAAUUUAUAAAGUACUUUUAGUUCCUACGAAUGUUCUUAAUCUUUUGGUAUGCUCUUUUUUUUUUUCUUUUUCUU